UAAGCUUUAAGUUAAUUGUUAAACUAUUAACCUUCAAAGUUAAAAAUAUUAAAAUUUAAGCCUAA
rnacentral:tRNA from 1 species